UCCGCAAUGCGCGAAAGCGUGACGGGGUCAGCCCGAGUGCCACCCGUGAGGGUGGCUGUGGCCGGCCGUAAAAAAGCCGGCUUAGAAAGCGGAGGGCAAGGCUGGUGCCAGCCGCCGCGGUAAAACCAGCUCCGCGAGUGGUCGGGACUAUUACUGGGCUUAAAGGGUCCGUAGGCGGCCCCGUGAGUCCACGGCUAAAUCCCAGGGCUCAACCCUGGGACUGCUGCGGAUACCACGGGGCUAGGGACCGGGCGAGGGCGGGGGUACUCACCGGGUAGGGGCGAAAUCCUGAGAUCCGGUGAGGACCGGCGGUGGCGAAGGCGCCUGCCUGGAACGGCUCCGACGCUGAGGGACGAAAGCCGGGGGAGCGAAGGGGAUUAGAUACCCCCGUAGUCCCGGCUGUAAACGAUGCCCGCUAGGUGUUGGGCUGGCUGGAGCCAGCCCAGUGCCUGAAGGGAAACCGUUAAGCGGGCCGCCUGGGGAGUACGGCCGCAAGGCUGAAACUUAAAGGAACUGGCGGGGGCCCACUACAAGGGGAGGAGCCUGCGGCUUAAUUGGAUUCAACGCCGGGUUUCUU
rnacentral:rRNA from 1 species